AUGGACCACGCGUCCACUGCGAUUCUGAGCGCUGCGUCCGCACCCACCUGACGACUGCUCGCUACGUUUUGUUAGCC
rnacentral:sRNA from 2 species